UAAAGAUUAAAAUGUUUUUGACAAUCAAUCAGAAAACCAAACAUGCAAAUGAGUACAAAGGAUUACAAAAAUAAAAAUCAACAAAGAACUAAGUUCUGAAAGAGCUUUCAUAAACAUUGUCAAAUCCAAAGGAAGAAUCUCGAAAUGAUUGUCAGGCUAGCCAAAACAACCUUUAACUGUCUCUGUUAGGAUCAAAAAGUGGAGUUGA
rnacentral:misc_RNA from 1 species